AUUGAACGCUGGCGGCAGGCUUAACACAUGCAAGUCGAGCGAGCGGCGGACGGGUGAGUAAUGUCUGGGAAACUGCCUGAUGGAGGGGGAUAACUACUGGAAACGGUAGCUAAUACCGCAUACCAUCAGAUGUCCCCAGAUGGGCUUAGCUAGUAGGUGGGGAAAUGCUUCACCUAGGCGACGAUCCCUAGCUGGUCUGAGAGGAUGACCAGCCACACGGGGACUGAGACACGGUCCAGACUCCGACGGGAGGCAGCAGUGGGGAAUCUUCCGCAAUGGGCGAAAGCCUGACGGAGCAACGCCGCGUGAGUGAUGAAGGUCUUCGGAUCGUAAAGCUCUGUUAUUAGGGAAGCGGUACCUAAUCAAGAAGCAACGGCUAACUACGUGCCAGCAGCCGCGGUAAUUC
rnacentral:rRNA from 1 species